rnacentral:rRNA from 1 species
UACGUAGGGCGCAAGCGUUAUCCGGAAUUAUUGGGCGUAAAGAGCUCGUAGGCGGUUUGUCGCGUCUGCCGUGAAAGUCCGGGGCUCAACUCCGGAUCUGCGGUGGGUACGGGCAGACUAGAGUGCGGUAGGGGAGAUCGGAAUUCCUGGUGUAGCGGUGAAAUGCGCAGAUAUCAGGAGGAACACCGGUGGCGAAGGCAGCUCGCUGGGACGGUACUGACGCUGAGACGCGAAAGCGUGGGGAGCAAACAGG